UACGGAGGAUGCGAGCGUUAUCCGGAUUUAUUGGGUUUAAAGGGUGCAUAGGCGGGCUUUUAAGUCAGCGGUAAAAAUUCGGGGCUCAACCCCGUCCGGCCGUUGAAACUGGGGGCCUUGAGUGGGCGAGAAGAAGGCGGAAUGCGUGGUGUAGCGGUGAAAUGCAUAGAUAUCACGCAGAACCCCGAUUGCGAAGGCAGCCUUCCGGCGCCCUACUGACGCUGAGGCACGAAAGUGCGGGGAUCGAACAGG
rnacentral:rRNA from 1 species